rnacentral:tRNA from 2 species
GGAGAGGUGCGAGAGUGGCCGAAUCGGGCGCCCUGCUAAGGCGUUAUACUCGUAAGGGUAUCAGGGGUUCGAAUCCCCUCCUCUCCG